rnacentral:rRNA from 1 species
UGGGUGACCUGCCCUCAGCUCUGGGAUAAGCCUGGGAAACUGGAUCUAAUACUGGAUAUUCACUUCUCAUCGCAUGGUGGGUGGUGGAAAGUUUUUCGGCUGGGGAUGGGCCCGCGGCCUAUCAGCUUGUUGGUGGGGUAGUGGCCUACCAAGGCGACGACGGGUAGCCGGCUGAGAGGGUGACCGGCCACACUGGGACUGAGACACGGCCCAGACCUCCGUACGGGAG